GAGAAGAACACCCCCCGGAGCCAGCAGCCCAUCCUGCCAGACCCCAGCCCCAGAAAGAACAGGGCUGCUGGCUCCGCUUUGCCAGUGAAGAGGAAGAUCCCAGGAGAGUCCCUCAUUAACCCUGGCUUCAAAAGGUAUGUGCUGCUCCACAGCCCAGUGCUGCGCCUGAGAUCUGCUGGUCCGUGCUCUGCAGGGUGCACAGCUUGGGCUGGCAUGUGACUUCCUUAAAGCUGGUUUCAGCCAGCAGGUCUGGGUACCCAGCCAGCGUGAC
rnacentral:lncRNA from 1 species